GGAAGUAAAAGUUGUAACAAGGUUUCCGUAGGUGAACCUGCGGAAGGAUCAUUCAUAAUAAGUGUUUUACUGCACUUUUUAAAAAUAGUACUCACCUUGUGUGCAAUGUUGUGUUUCUUUUCGGAGAAACACCUACACCAACCUAUAACCUUGAACCACUUUGUCUGAAAAACUAUUAUGAAUACUUAAUUCAAAAUACAACUUUCAACAACGGAUCUCUUGGCUCUC
rnacentral:misc_RNA from 1 species